rnacentral:rRNA from 1 species
GAUGAACGCUGGCGGCGUGCUUAACACAUGCAAGUCGAACGAAGCUGCUAAAAGGAAGUCUUCGGACGGAAUUUUAGUAGACUUAGUGGCGGACGGGUGAGUAACGCGUGGAUAACCUGCCUUAUACAGGGGGAUAACGGAGAGAAAUUUCCGCUAAGACCGCAUAAGACCACAGCACCGCAUGGUGCAGGGGUAAAAUAUUUAUAGGUAUAAGAUGGAUCCGCGUCCGAUUAGCUAGUUGGUGAGAUAGAGGCUCACCAAGGCGACGAUCGGUAGCCGGCCUGAGAGGGUGAACGGCCACAUUGGGACUGAGACACGGCCCAAACUCCUACGGGAGGCAGCAGUGGGGAAUAUUGGACAAUGGGGGAAACCCUGAUCCAGCGACGCCGCGUGAGUGAAGAAGUAUUUCGGUAUGUAAAGCUCUAUCAGCAGGGAAGAAAAUGACGGUACCUGACUAAGAAGCCCCGGCUAACUACGUGCCAGCAGCCGCGGUAAUACGUAGGGGGCAAGCGCUAUCCGGAUUUACUGGGUGUAAAGGGAGCGCAGACGGCGAAGCAAGUCUGAAGUGAAAUGCAUGGGCUCAACCCAUGAAUUGCUUUGGAAACUGUUUGGCUUGAGUGUCGGAGGGGUAAGCGGAAUUCCUAGUGUAGCGGUGAAAUGCGUAGAUAUUAGGAGGAACACCGGAGGCGAAGGCGGCUUACUGGACGACAACUGACGUUGAGGCUCGAAGGCGUGGGGAGCAAACAGG